ensembl:lncRNA
UAACUACCUUUGAUAGCGAGAGGGCCAAAUUAAUAAUUACUUGCUUCACUACAUUCUGACUGUUUUAUUCACUCAAUACAUUUUUACCUCCCUUUAAAAGCCAUCUGAAAUAAUUUCUUUCUCAAUAGAUACGUCUGAAUAAUCUCAUUCAACAUUGACUUUGCUUUCUCUCUUCUGCAGGUGUCUGUAGAAUUGAGCCUGAGUUGAGGUAGUUGGGUGUAGUGGUUGGGGAACAGAUUGCUAAAUCAGACAUACCUUGCUUUUAACCCAUUCUUUGUAAUUUAUCACCAGAAUGACACAGGAAGUUGGCCUUUCUAGGUGUGGCAUCCUUGUGCACACCAUGUGGCCCAGGGAGAGCAUUCAAUGACUGUGUAUUGCCAGGAUUAUGUUAAUAAUAUGAGUAGGGUUAUGUUCUGUCCUUGUUUCUUAAAUAUUAAUUACGUUUUCCAACAUACUUUGUAAAUGUCUCAAAUUCAGUAAUCACUUAUAUACAUGUACUUUAUCUGGUUUAAACUGAAUUUUAUAAAAGUGUUUCUUAGAGAUCCCAAUCUCUUUUUGGUUAUACAUAGGGAUGCUUAGAUGCUUUCAAAGAAAUUGUACAGAUUGUCAAUAAUAGCAUAAAUGAAAUGUUCGAACAAAUUUUGAGUGUGUUAGCCUUAAAUGUCUGUAUUUACUCAUUCACUAGUGAUUAAUUUAUUGAGACUCUACUACAUGCAAAGCACAAUCAGAUAGGCACAGUUCUUGACCUAAUGGUGCUUGUGUAUUUAUUUAUUUAUUUUUAUUUAUUUUUCAGGAGAGACUACAAUUAUUUAAUGCUUUGAAUACAAAUGUAAAGAAUGUUGAAAUUUACAAAUGAUGAGGUGCUGAGACUUCAUAAACCAAGUAAAACAACACCUUACUUUGGGGCACAUAGAAUGCUUGUUAAAUAGAAUGAUAUUUAAUAUGAGAAGAUAAGAAUAAACAGGUAUAGGCAUCCAAAGAUUGGAUUAGAAAUCUUGGUACAGUGAUUGCUGUGAGAGCUGGAGUCUGGGAAUUUUUAAAACAUUCCACACUGAGGGAACAGAAUGUGCAAAGGCCCUGGAGUAGAGAGGAACCUGAAGCAUCUAGGGACUUAAAAAAGAUUGGUGUGAAAACUAAGGCACAGAGUUAGGGCCUGUGACAUAGGCCAUACUCUGAUGUAGAGUCUGAGAGGUAAUUGUAUUUCAGUUUCUAUUUUGAGAGCAAUGGGAAGCUACUAAAUUGUUUUAGGCAUCAGAGCAAUAUAAUCAGUGUGAAUUUGUAAAAUAUAAUUUUGACUAAUGUGAGCAAAAUGGAUUGGAGAGUGACAAAAUUGAUGCAGGAAGAAAAAUAGAUGACUUAUUAUAAUAUCAACAAUAACAAUAUGGACAUUUGUUCCUGUCAUUAAUGUCUGUCAUUGAAGCCUCACAGUAGCCAAGUAAUGAAGUUCCAUUAAUAACCAUUCUGAGAAAACAUCCUUAAGAUGUAAAGUUUCUUUCCCUAACUUCUUAGACAUAGAAAUAUCCAGAUGACAGAAUCUAGAUUUAAUUUCAGACAAAAUAUC